UGAAUGUGGAAGUUGAUGCCUUGAGUAGAAAAAGGCAACCCAUCCUAAAAUUUUCUUGAAGGCCACAAGUUCUUCUUUGUCUUGGAACAAAAUAGCAUUGUCUCCAACCUCUCUCGGUUUCCUCUCAUUGUUCUUGUUCUUCUCCUUGGGACUUUCAUUUCUCCAAGUUUCAAUCAAUCAGUUUGUAAUUUUCCUUUAAUUUCUCUGUUCUUAUUUUGAUUUCGACCUCAAUUUUUCUAGGGUUUUAAAUUGUAGCUUGUGGUGUGUUACAUUCCAACCUAAAGAGUUCUUCCUCGUUUGUUCAAAAAAAUCAACUUUCUCUUCUUUAUUAUCUACUAGUGUAAGUAUUUUUUUGCUUUCUUUCUGUUUAUUGAAUCUUUGAGUUUCUACAUUUUUGGGAAUUGGAAUUUUUUUUUGUUAUGUUUCUUUCUUUAUUGAAUCUUUUUUUUCUUUUUAUUUGUUAUGUUACUAAGGCUACUGGAAAAGUUUCUGAAAGUAGGUUGUCCAUGAAAAAUGCUAUUGUUUCAGCAGACAGCUAAAAUUCAUCUGAUUUAGUGAAUAAACUGGAGGCACAAAGUAAAGGAUUAUGGAAGCUAAAAGAUGAUCUGAAAAAGUUCUAGCGGUUUCGCGUGUAAUGGUUGUCUGGCAACCCAUUGGCAUGACAAUGAGGGUUUAUGAUAUGUGUCACAGAAGAGAGAACAAUUUGGAGCACCAUUAGCAGCUUUUCAACUUAACCAACAAAAACUUGUUCUCAUGCUGGGAAAUAUUUCAAGCAACAUUCCUCAUUGGUUGGAGACUUUGCAAAUUAUAUGAAAAGGGAACAAUGAUUACUUCAGGCCAAGCUAGCUUGGGAAAGGCAUGGAUCACUCUGAGAGCUAGAGAAACCCAAUAAGAUGUGAGUUGCUUGGAGGCAAUGAGAUUUUAUCAGACUUUCUAGUUGCAAAGGUUUGCAAAUUUACUCAUUUCUUCAUUUACAACAUAUAUUGAUGGAACAUAGUUUCUGAUUGAAAUGUGAGUUUUAAAGGGUUAAAUGUUUUGUCCAUGAAAAACAAUUUUUCUAAGAACAUUCAUAAAACAAGGGAGGCUUAGAAACCAAGUUUAUAAACAUUACUAAUUUGGAGCAUUAGAGAAUAACUGUUUUUGCUUUUUAAAAUUAAGCUUAUAAACAUUACUUCUAUAAAUAAUUUCUAUAAAUAAUUUCCUUGUUUUUUUAUCCACUUCCUAUCAAUAAUUUUAACAAAUCUUUCUAAAAUUUGGUCAAAAGAUUGAAAAUAAUAAUAAUAAAUAAAAAACUAGAAAUGUCAAUUUUCUGAAGCUUUGUGAUUUAUUUGUUUGGUAUAUUUGUCAGACAUUCUUUGAUUUGUUCAUACGUACAACAUCAAAAUAUUGGUAACUAUGGGAGAGAAAUAACUGGUGUUGCCAGUUUCAACACAUUACCCUGCCUAUUUAUGUUAUACUAGCCCGCCUUUUGACUUGGCCAACGGUCUUUGUUGAGUGAGUUGCAAAUACUAUAAAUCUUCAACCCUUUUUCUUAAUUUUUUUUUUCAAUUAUAACAAUGAAUUUGGGGUAGAUAUCACUCUUCAACCCUAUUUAUGUUAUACUUUUUAUAUCACCAUUUUGUAUACUUUGAUGUCCUCUCCAAUUCUUUUCCUAUGUUUUUCUUUUCAAAGUUCCUUAACACAAACUUUAUGUAGGUUGGAUUUUAUGAUCGGUAUCUGCAGAUGUUUUGCAGAUGUUUUUCUUAUAUAUUCCCCUAUCUUAGUUAUAAAUAGGUCAAGUUUCUUGAAACUAAUGAUGCACUUAAAUAGGAAGUGAAUUUUUGUUUUCAGGUUCAUAUGUAAGAUUGAUAGAGAGGGAAAAGGGGAAUUUUAGUUGUAAAGAAAUUUUCUUCUCCUAAUAUUUUUUUUUUUCUCUAAGCUUCUUGAACAGAACUAGUCAUAUGAUUUUUCAUGAUUAUAAUUUUGUUGCUUUAUUUAAUGGUACAUGAAAGAAGAUGUGGAAGAAUCAAGGUGUCAUUCUUUAUCAUUAUUCUUUAUGUCAAUCUGAUUUUUAUUCUGUUAGCAAGAGAAGAUUACCAAAUGGACCUAAUCCAAUAAUCCAUAACAGGUACUCAAUAAUGCCUCUUCUAAUUUACUACAUUUACAUAUGUUUAUCUAAUUUUUCCUUUUCUCCUGCUCAUUGAAAGUAUUGUCUUUGACCUUUUUCUAAGUGUCUCUUUUUCUUUCUUUUAAUUUUUAAUCCACUAAAGUUGGUUGGUGGGUUUUACGAUUUCUCUACAAUUCUGCAAAUUUGUAUCAUCUUGAGGAAAAAACUUAGACCAUAUAAUCUUCUCCUCAAAAAAGGAAAAUUAACACGAAGACCUUGACUGCCCAAACUUCAAUUAGACGAAAGAUAAAUGGACUGAGAAUUCAUUAAUAGCUGUAUUCUUGGCCUAUACUUUUUACUUUACACGGAUAGAGGAUAACAUGAGAUAUACACCAUUGACUCAUAUUCAAGCUUCAAUGAAAGCUAUCUUCAACGAAACUAAGCUUGACAUCCCUUAAUGAGGAGGAGGGAUUUGGUCUAGUAGCUGAUUGCCGUCCUACUUCUAUCAAGGUUUUGAUGAAGUUGACCAAUGACAAUCAUGUUGGCUGUCAACAAAUUGCUUCAUGUAGAGGACUAGAAACUAUGAGUUCACUGAUUGCCAACCAUUUCUACUCCCAAAAUUGAUUCGUUUUGAAACUCAAAUUCGAGACUCAA